rnacentral:rRNA from 1 species
GUGGGGAAUCUUCCACAAUGGACGAAAGUCUGAUGGAGCAACGCCGCGUGAGUGAAGAAGGGUUUCGGCUCGUAAAGCUCUGUUGUCGGGGACGAAUGUGCAGUAUUUGAAUAAAGUAGUGCAAUGACGGUACCUGACGAGGAAGCCACGGCUAACUACGUGCCAGCAGCCGCGGUAAUACGUAGGUGGCAAGCGUUGUCCGGAAUUAUUGGGCGUAAAGGGAGCGCAGGCGGGAAGGUAAGUCGGUCUUAAAAGUGCGGGGCUCAACCCCGUGAUGGGAUCGAAACUAUCUUUCUUGAGUGCAGGAGAGGAAAGUGGAAUUCCUAGUGUAGCGGUGAAAUGCGUAGAUAUUAGGAGGAACACCAGUGGCGAAGGCGGCUUUCUGGACGAUGUCUGACGCUGAGGCGCGAAAGCUAGGGGAGCGAACGGGAUUAGAAACCCCGGUAGUCC